rnacentral:RNase_P_RNA from 1 species
GCGGAUGGCCGCCGGCUGCGAGCAAUCAAGGCUGGAGGAAAGUCCGGGCACCGCAGGGCAAGAUGCUGGAUAACGUCCAGGCGCGGUAACGCGACAGAAAGUGCAGCAGAAAGCAAACCGCCCGCAGCAAUGCGAGUAAGGGUGAAACGGCGAGGUAAGAGCUCACCGCACGACUGGUGACAGGAGUGGCAUGGUAAACCUCAUCCGGUGCAAGACCGUGCCAGCUGGAUAUCCGGGUAGGUCGCUUGAGGCGGUCGGUAACGAUUCGUCCAGAGAGAUGGUCAUCGCUCCGAUGGCAACAUUGGAGUACAGAACCCGGCUUAUAAC